UACGGAGGGUGCAAGCGUUGUUCGGAAUUACUGGGCGUAAAGCGUGUCUAGGCGGACUUGUAAGUCAGAUGUGAAAUCCCCCGGCUUAACCGGGGAGGGUCAUUUGAAACUGCAAGUCUUGAGUUCCGGGGAGGCAAGUGGAAUUCCCAGUGUAGAGGUGAAAUUCGUAGAUAUUGGGAGGAACAUCGGAGGCGAAAGCGACUUGCUAAUCGGAAACUGACGCUCAAGCACGAAAGCGUGGGUAGCAAACAGG
rnacentral:rRNA from 1 species